rnacentral:rRNA from 1 species
GAGAACCCGGGUGAAGGAACUAGGCAAAAUGGCACCGUAACUUCGGGAGAAGGUGCGCCUCUUGGUGUGGUCACGUGCGUGACUGAGCAUCGAGGGGUCGCAGUAACCUGGCCGCUGCGACUGUUUAUCAAAAACACAGCACUCUGCAAACACGAAAGUGGACGUAUAGGGUGUGUCGCCUGCCCGGUGCUGGAAGGUUAAUUGAUGGGGUCAGCCGCAAGGCGAAGCUCUUGAUCGAAGCCCCAGUAAACGGCUGCCGUAACUAUAACGGUCCUAAGGUAGCGAAAUUCCUUGUCGGGUAAGUUCCGACCUGCACGAAUGGCGUAACGACAGCCGCGCUGUCUCCACCCGAGACUCAGUGAAAUUGAAAUCGCUGUGAAGAUGCAGCGUUCCCGCGGCAAGACGGAAAGACCCCGUGAACCUUUACUAUAGCUUUACACUGAACGUUGAGUUCUUCUGUGUAGGAUAGGUGGGAGGCUAUGAAACCAGGACGCUAGUUCUGGUGGAGCCAUCCUUGAAAUACCACCCUGAAGUGCUUGACGUUCUAACCUAGGUCCGUAAUCCGGAUCGGGGACCGUGUAUGGUGGGUAGUUUGACUGGGGCGGUCUCCUCCCAAAGAGUAACGGAGGAGCACGAAGGUACGCUCAGCGCGGUCGGACAUCGCGCACUGUGUGCAAAGGCAUAAGCGUGCUUGACUGCGAGAUCGACGGAUCAAGCAGGUACGAAAGUAGGUCUUAGUGAUCCGGUGGUUCUGUAUGGAAGGGCCAUCGCUCAACGGAUAAAAGGUACUCCGGGGAUAACAGGCUGAUACCGCCCAAGAGUUCAUAUCGACGGCGGUGUUUGGCACCUCGAUGUCGGCUCAUCACAUCCUGGGGCUGUAGCCGGUCCCAAGGGUAUGGCUGUUCGCCAUUUAAAGUGGUACGCGAGCUGGGUUCAGAACGUCGUGAGACAGUUCGGUCCCUAUCUGUCGUGGGCGUUGGAGAUUUGAGGGGGGCUGCUCCUAGUACGAGAGGACCGGAGUGGACGUUCCGCUGGUGUUCGGGUUGUCAUGCCCAUGGCAUUGCCCGGUAGCUACGAACGUAAGUGAUAACCGCUGAAAGCAUCUAAGCGGGAAGCACGCCCCAAGAUGAGAUCUCCCGAGAGCUUGACUCUCCUAAAGGCACCAUCAAGACUAGGUGGUUGAUAGGCACGGUGUGGAAGUGCAGCAAUGCAUUGAGCUUACGUGUACUAAUGAGCCGUGAGGCUUGACCAA